rnacentral:lncRNA from 1 species
UUUAAAAGCGCGCCGUCGCUUCUGAUGGUCACCAGAAGAUCAUGAUCGACUUCACGGAGAUUCUCUCGGCCGUCGGCGAAUUUGGGGCGUUUCAGAAGCGCUUGUUGGUGGCGAUUGUACGCAAGCAAAAGAUGGCCAGAUUGAGACUUGUGAACUUCACCACUGGCUCCCUCCUUUAAAAUGUUACUCUGCUGAAGUACAUGUGAAUAAAAAAAAUAUUUUCAAGACAGCAAAUAACAGUGUCAUGAAAUGAGUUCGGCUCAUGUGGACGAAAAGAGUCCAAAAUGAGAAUCUAUGCAUUUGGGGAUUUACAAUGCUAUUAUUCACUUUGGAAUGUUUUUUUUUUUACUUGCAUGUACUUGCACAAUAUUUUUAUACAUAAUUGCCACACAUUACAUAGUAAUGUAAUAAGUUGUACUUUCAUUACAUAUUAAGUGAGAUUCUUGCCAAUGUUUGUUUCAUGUCCCAUGUGUCAAUAUAGAGCUGCAAUAGGAAGACCAGCAGACCUUUUGUGAUUUGUGUUUGUAAUCAAUGAAAUUGCAUGAUAAAAUGAUGAAAUAGGAGAUGUAAUGGAUUUAUUCUUAAAUUAUCAUUGUGUAUGAAGUGUGCUUUUUAAAUAAACUUGUUUUGAAAUG